AUGUGGUGGCAAAGGGGUGACCGUGUGCAGUGGAGUCCCAGCGCCUGUGCACCCACGGAGCCACAGCCAGGGGGCACAGACACAGACCGUGGCGUGCAGCCCCCCCCAGCCAGGGGGCACAGACACAGACCGUGGCAUGCAGCCCCCCCCAGCCAGGGGGCAGACACAGACCGUGGCAGGCGAGGCCCUGCCCGCCUACCUGCUGGCCCCGGGGUGGGACAUGUCCGAGGAGCUGAGGGCCCAGGGACAGAGCACAGCCCCACCUCUGAGGACCCCCACAGGGGCCGGGCAGCAGUUCCCCUCCCACCCCAACGUACACGUGUGUGCAUGAACACACACACAGCUGGACACCAGGACAUGGCCACUCGUGCAGCUGCCUCAAAGGUCGGGGCCUUCCUGGGGGGCGCCCUGCAUGGCCGUGGCCCUUUUCCUGACUGCGGCCACAGGCUGAGGGCAUCCAUCCCUGGGGGUCUGUGUUGGGCUGAGACGAGGUGGGGGCUCCUGGCGCCCCGGGCCCCUCUUAAAGGAGCCCCUGCUUGGGCACCGUGCUCACCCUUGAGCUGUGGGGACAGAGGAGCAGGGGGUGAGGGAGUGGCCAGGGCAGGGGAGAGGCGUCCAGCCCCCUGUGCUCCCUCAGGAGUCAGCCCCUCCUUUCCUCCCCGACAGCCCCCACCCUGUGCAGCCCUGAGACGCGAGGCUUCCUGCAACACGGAGCCCACAAAUGGAUUCCUGAGGUUCCUAGAGGUCCCUAACUCCAAUCACUGCAUUUUUUUUAAAAGAUUUAUCCAUUUAUUUGAAAGAGUUACACAGAGAGGAGAAGCAGAGAGAGAGAGGUCCUCCAUCCACUGGUCCACUCCCCAAUUGGCCACAACGGCCGGAGCUGCACCGAUCUGAAGCCAGGAGCUCCAUCCGGUCUCCCACGCGGGUGCAGGGCCCCGAGCACAGGGUCAUCUUCUGUGGCAAUUAGCAGGGGGCUGCACUGGAAGCAGCGCCCUCACAGAUGCCGACGUGGUUUAUCCCACUGUGCCACAACCGAUGGCCAGUCACCGCAUUCUCGCCUUGGGGAAGCAAGUGCCCCUCCCCAGGCUGCCAGCACCAGGCCUCCGCCCCACCGUGUGUCCUCAGCGAGGGGACAGUGGCUGUAGGCACAGGUGCUAGUGAGUCCUACACCUUGGGCCCCGUGUGGCCGCCACUGCCCCCGGCUAUGCGGGGCCUCCCAGGAGCAGUUCCCCAAUGAGGGUGAGGGGUGUGCCGCGCGUGUGGCAGUGGCGCCAGGACUUCACGGUGACAAAGGCGGCUGUGGGCAUCACACCCUCGGCAGCUCUGCAGCCGCGUCCAGGGCUGUCCACCAUCCCCAUGCCCAGCUCGAGUGUGCCGGACCUGCAGCUGCCCACCCCAUGGGUAGCCACACGUGUGUCCAGCCCCCCGCCAGGUCCCGGCGUCCUGGGGCGACUCCGGCGGCCUCUCAGUCUCGUGCCGUGGAGCCCGGUGUUGCUGGCUAAGGGCCCUAUCCAGAGCUGGUGGGAGGCACGGUGCUGGCCCAGGAGGCAGGGCGGCUGCCUCGUGUCCUGGGGGCCAGGCAGCAGGGGGUCUCCCAGAGGUGCUCUCAGGGCUGACCACUGUUUCCAGGGAAAUCGGUUUUACAAAUGAAGCAGGAACCAGCGGACAAGCCCUGGGAGGGUCUGAUGGCAGACACAUCUCCCGCCCACGUCCACCACUGCACCCCUGCAAAGCCACAGCCACCCCCAGGGACGGCUCC
ensembl:lncRNA